rnacentral:rRNA from 1 species
UACGUAGGGUGCAAGCGUUAAUCGGAAUUACUGGGCGUAAAGCGUGCGCAGGCGGUUUUGUAAGUCUGUCGUGAAAUCCUCGGGCUCAACCUGAGAAUUGCGAUGGAGACUGCAAGGCUAGAAUCUGGCAGAGGGGGGUAGAAUUCCACGUGUAGCAGUGAAAUGCGUAGAGAUGUGGAGGAACACCGAUGGCGAAGGCAGCCCCCUGGGUCAAGAUUGACGCUCAUGCACGAAAGGCGUGGGAG